AACAGGUUUUGGUCCUCUUUCCUGUAAACAUCCACAGAGUGCACUGCAGACAGAAGCACUCAGGUGUGUGUGAGACGAAGACUUCUUUUGAAGAUCGCCAUUCAAACUAAACCUAUAUCUACAGAAUGAAUGAUUCUUAUUCAUGAAGCCAUAAGUACUUCAUGACACUGAGGCCAUCUGAGUGAAACUGAAGAGAUGGCUGCAGGGGGAUCAUCUAGUGGAGGUGUCCUCCAUCUCUCAGACUUGAGGAUUGUGCUGCUGGGGAACAGAGAAGCUGCAAAGAGUUCAGCAGGAAACACCAUCCUGGGCAGAGAGGAGUUUGACCCUGAUGUGAGAACACUGCAGUGUGUGAAGAGACAGGGAGAGGUAGCAGGGAGACAGGUCACUGUGGUGGACACGCCAGGAUGGACA